rnacentral:rRNA from 1 species
ACGAACGCUGGCGGCGUGCCUAAUACAUGCAAGUCGAACGCUUCUUUCCUCCCGAGUGCUUGCACUCAAUUGGAAAGAGGAGUGGCGGACGGGUGAGUAACACGUGGGUAACCUACCCAUCAGAGGGGGAUAACACUUGGAAACAGGUGCUAAUACCGCAUAACAGUUUAUGCCGCAUGGCAUAAGAGUGAAAGGCGCUUUCGGGUGUCGCUGAUGGAUGGACCCGCGGUGCAUUAGCUAGUUGGUGAGGUAACGGCUCACCAAGGCCACGAUGCAUAGCCGACCUGAGAGGGUGAUCGGCCACACUGGGACUGAGACACGGCCCAGACUCCUACGGGAGGCAGCAGUAGGGAAUCUUCGGCAAUGGACGAAAGUCUGACCGAGCAACGCCGCGUGAGUGAAGAUGGUUUUCGGAUCGUAAAACUCUGUUGUUAGAGAAGAACAAGGACGUUAGUAACUGAACGUCCCCUGACGGUAUCUAACCAGAAAGCCACGGCUAACUACGUG